rnacentral:lncRNA from 1 species
AAAUGACUACGGGGAGCUCAGGACAUUAUGGCAGCCCUGAGAAGAACUUGUAGUCCUUUAAACUAGGAUUAGCUUUUUUGCUUUUUGUAUUUUAGCUACACAUACAAAUAGGAAUGCGUUUCCUGGGACAUUGUGUCUUGCUGAGAGAGCAAGUACCUGUGCAGAGGUGUAGAGGUGUGUGAAAGCAACUGAGCAUGCUCAGGCUAGGCUGGAGUCAGGACCAGGGAGGCAAAGAGUGAGCGAUGCGCCUGGAAAGGAAGGAGUGAGGGGGUCCCCAACCAGCAGCCCAGUCUGGCCUACAUCUGGAGCAUGUGGACAAAGUCCCAGACCUAUCCUUCUUUGAUCAGGCCUGUGGCUUCAGGAGGGCUUGGACCUGAGGCGCACACCCCAGCAUAGCCACAGAUCCUAUCCUCUCGGUCCUUUUCUGCUUAGCUGACCCUGUCAGGGUCUCUCCAAACUCACAUGGUCCCUCAGGAGGCUAUG